UACGGAGGGCGCAAGCGUUGUUCGGAAUUACUGGGCGUAAAGCGCGUGUAGGUGGCCUGAAAAGUCGGGUGUGAAAUCCCGGAGCUCAACUCCGGAACUGCAUCCGAUACUGCCAGGCUCGAGUCUCGGAGAGGAUGGCGGAAUUUCCGGUGUAGAGGUGAAAUUCGUAGAUAUCGGAAGGAACACCAGUGGCGAAGGCGGCCGUCUGGACGAUGAGUGACAUUGAGACGCGAAAGCGUGGGGAGCAAACAGG
rnacentral:rRNA from 1 species